rnacentral:misc_RNA from 1 species
GAUGAAGAACGCAGCGAAAUGCGAUACGUAAUGUGAAUCGCAGAAUUCAGUGAAUCAUCGAAUCUUUGAACGCAUAUUGCGCUCUCUGGUAUUCCGGAGAGCAUGCUUGUUUGAGUAUCAGUAAACACCUCAACUUCCAUAUCUUUUUUGAAAUGGGAGUUGGACUUGAGUGAUCCCAACGCUUUUCCUCACCGAAAAGUGGCGGGUUACUUGAAAUGCAGGUGCAGCUGGACUUUUCUCUGAGCUAUAAGCAUAUCUAUUUAGUCUGCCUAAAAAACAGAUUAUUACCUUUGCUGCAGCUAACAUAAAGGAGAUUAGUUCUUGUGCUGACUGAUGCAGGAUUCACAAAGACAGGCUUCGGCCGACUUUGUAAACUCGAUCUCAAAUCAAGUAAGACUACCCGCUGAACUUAAGCAUAUCAAUAAGCGGAGGA